rnacentral:rRNA from 1 species
AUUGAACGCUGGCGGCAGGCCUAACACAUGCAAGUCGAGCGGAUGAAGGGAGCUUGCUCCUGGAUUCAGCGGCGGACGGGUGGGUAAUGCCUAGGAAUCUGCCUGGUAGUGGGGGAUAACGUCCGGAAACGGGCGCUAAUACCGCAUACGUCCUGAGGGAGAAAGUGGGGGAUCUUCGGACCUCACGCUAUCAGAUGAGCCUAGGUCGGAUUAGCUAGUUGGUGGGGUAAAGGCCUACCAAGGCGACGAUCCGUAACUGGUCUGAGAGGAUGAUCAGUCACACUGGAACUGAGACACGGUCCAGACUCCUACGGGAGGCAGCAGUGGGGAAUAUUGGACAAUGGGCGAAAGCCUGAUCCAGCCAUGCCGCGUGUGUGAAGAAGGUCUUCGGAUUGUAAAGCACUUUAAGUUGGGAGGAAGGGCAGUAAGUUAAUACCUUGCUGUUUUGACGUUACCAACAGAAUAAGCACCGGCUAACUUCG